AAAUCUUCUGCGGUUAAAAAGCUCGCAGUUGUUCUCAGUUCCAAACGGAUGGUCCACCUUCCGGUGAUUAUUACCUGUUGUGAAUAGCCAUUCGAUUCCCUUUAUCGAUUAUCUUCUAUUCGAUUAUCUUCACCGGUAGUCUUGGUUGACCGGCAAGUUUGCUUUGAAAAUAUUAGUGUGUCCAAAACAGGAGUCACGCCUACAUAAUCGUGCAUUGUAUAAUGGUACUUUGGUUCUAUUUUGUUUGUUUUCGGAUUACGAGGCUAUGAUUAAGAGGAACAGACGGGCGUGAUCGUAUUGUUGCGCUAGAGAUGAAAUUCUUGGGCUGUCGCAGAGUCACCACGUAAUACGGACACGAUGUCUGAUUGGUUUUAAUAUAAUAAACACGCCCGUCCC
rnacentral:ncRNA from 1 species